AUUGAACGCUGGCGGCAUGCCUUACACAUGCAAGUCGAACGGCAGCACGGGAGCUUGCUCCUGGUGGCGAGUGGCGAACGGGUGAGUAAUACAUCGGAACGUACCCUGAAGUGGGGGAUAACGUAGCGAAAGUUACGCUAAUACCGCAUAUUCUGUGAGCAGGAAAGAGGGGGAUCGCAAGACCUCUUGCUUUAGGAGCGGCCGAUUGUCGGAUUAGCUAGUUGGUGAGGUAAAGGCUCACCAAGGCGACGAUCCGUAGCGGGUCUGAGAGGAUGAUCGCCACACUGGGACUGAGACACGGCCCAGACUCUUACGGGAGGCAGCAGUGGGGAAUUUUGGACAAUGGGCGCAAGCCUGAUCCAGCCAUGCCGCGUGAGUGAAGAAGGCCUUCGGUGUAAA
rnacentral:rRNA from 1 species